GACGAACGCUGGCGGCGUGCCUAACACAUGCAAGUCGAACGGAACUGUUUUGAAAGAUUUCUUCGGAAUGAAUUUGAUUUAGUUUAGUGGCGGACGGGUGAGUAACGCGUGAGUAACCUGCCUUCAAGAGGGGGAUAACAUUCUGAAAAGAAUGCUAAUACCGCAUGACAUAUCGGAAUCACAUGGUUCUGAUAUCAAAGAUUUUAUCGCUUGAAGAUGGACUCGCGUCCGAUUAGUUAGUUGGUGAGGUAACGGCUCACCAAGACCGCGAUCGGUAGCCGGACUGAGAGGUUGAACGGCCACAUUGGGACUGAGACACGGCCCAGACUCCUACGGGAGGCAGCAGUGGGGGAUAUUGCGCAAUGGGGGCAACCCUGACGCAGCAACGCCGCGUGAAGGAUGAAGGUUUUCGGAUUGUAAACUUCUUUUAUUAAGGACGAAAAAUGACGGUACUUAAUGAAUAAGCUCCGGCU
rnacentral:rRNA from 1 species